UGCAGUGAAAUUUUUUUUUUACUUAGGCCACGCCCCCUGAGAACAGGAAGUGUCAUGUUUUCCUAUGAACGGUUGCUAUCUUACCCCUUUGACCUAAUCAACAUGAAACUGUGUCCAGAGACAGAAGACAUGUUGGUGUGUUGUGGAUUCAAGCCCUGACCAGCUUUGACAUAGCAGGUGGGUGUGGCGGUGUGGCGAAGUGACCUGUAACGCCAUUGGUAUACGUUUGCCUCUACAUUCCACAUGUUUUGACCGAGCUGCACCAAACUUGGCCUGAGUGAUCCUGGUGUGAUGCCUGACAAUCCUAUGUCAUCAUAUUAUGACGUCAUCUAAGCCCCACCCCCUCAGAAUAGGAAGUGCUAUUUUUUUCCUUGGAAAGUUCCAUCUAUGGCUCGCUUGACCUAAUCAAGGUGAUUCUGUGUUGGAUGACAGAUAGGAAGUUGGUCUCACUUGCUUUAAAGUGCCAAGAGUUUUCAAUGGCGGCAACGCUGUUGGUAUACGUUUGCCUCUAGAUCCCACAUUUUUUGACCAAGCUGCACCAAAAUUGGCCUGAGUGUUCCUGGUGGGAUGCCUGACAAUCCUAUGUCAUCAUAUUAUGACGUGAUCUAAGCCCCGCCCCCUCAGAACGAAUGAGAGAGAUCUUCUGUGUAAUUAAACAUUAAACAGUCCAUGUUCAUCAUUUGUAGGGCAAUGCUGCCCUCUGGUGUCAAAUUACUGAAAUAAUGAAACUAUUUCAGUAAUUCGGCACCAGAGGGCAGCAUUGCCCUACGGAAUGACAGAGUUCAAUUUUGUAAUGAAGAGGAAAAAAUUAAAAAUUUGUAUUUCUAACACAAAAACUCACAGAGACACCAAACUUUCAGUUAUUGAUCAUCAUCAGGUGUCCAAUAAUAUCCAACGGUCAAAUGAUGACAUCACUUAGGCCACGC